rnacentral:rRNA from 1 species
AUUCCAGCUCCAAUAGCGUAUAUUAAAGUUGUUGCAGUUUAAAAGCUCGUAGUUGAAUUUUUGCUGCGGUGACCUUGCAUUGUUUUCCUUUGUUUGUGUUGCUACAGCAUUUUUCUUUGUACUACCUUCAUUGUGUAUGUACUCCGAUUGGUUUACUUUGAGAAAAAUAGAGUGUUUCAAGCAGGCUUACGCCUUGAAUACUGCAGCAUGGAAUAAUGCAAUAGACCUACUUUUCUGUUUCGUUGGUUUUGAGGAAUGAGUGAUGAUUAAUAGGGAUAGUUGGGGGCAUUUGUAUUCGACUGUCAGAGGUGAAAUUCUUAGAUUUGUUGAAGACAGACAACUGCGAAAGCAUUUGCCAAGGAUAUUCUCAUUA